GAUGAACGCUGGCGGCGUGCCUAAUACAUGCAAGUCGAGCGAACAGACGAGGAGCUUGCUCCUCUGACGUUAGCGGCGGACGGGUGAGUAACACGUGGAUAACCUACCUAUCAGACUGGGAUAACUUCGGGAAACCGGAGCUAAUACCGGAUAAUAUAUUGAACCGCAUGGUUCAAUAGUGAAAGACGGUUUUGCUGUCACUUAUAGAUGGAUCCGCGCCGCAUUAGCUAGUUGGUAAGGUAACGGCUUACCAAGGCAACGAUGCGUAGCCGACCUGAGAGGGUGAUCGGCCACACUGGAGCGGAGACACGGUCCUGACUCCUACGGGAGGCAGCAGUAGGGAAUCUGACGCAAUGGGCGAAAGCCUGACGGAGCAACGCCGCGUGAGUGAUGAAGGUCUUCGGAUCGUAAAACUCUGUUAUUAGGGAAGAACAAAUGUGUAAGUAACUAUGCACGUCUUGACGGUACCUAAUCAGAAAGCCACGGCUAACUACGUG
rnacentral:rRNA from 1 species